rnacentral:rRNA from 1 species
GUCUGUUUGGAGUUAUAAAGAGUCUAGCCUGCCCACUGAUUAAUAUUUAAGGGCCGCAGUAUUAUAACUGUGCAAAGGUAGCAUAAUCAUUAGGUUUUUAAUUGGAAUCUUGAAUGAAUGGUUGGACAAAAGAAGUACUGUCUUUAUGUUAAAUUUUGAAUUUAACUUUUAAGUGAAAAGGCUUAAAUAUUCUAAAGGGACGAUAAGACCCUAUAAAACUUUACAUUAAGAUUAAAUUUAGUUAAAUUUAAUUAUAAAGAUUUAAUUUAAUUAUUUGUUGUAUUGGGGAGAUAUAGGUAAACCUUUUAUUAACUGCUUACUGAUCAAACAUUUACUAAUGAAAGUAAUGGAUCCUUGUUAAAGAUUGUUGAAUUAAGUUACUUUAGGGAUAACAGCGUUAUUUUUUUUGAGAGUUCAUAUCGAAAAAAAAGAUUGCGACCUCGAUGUUGAAUUAAAAUAUCUGUAUAAUGGAGCGGUUAUACAAGAGGGUCUGUUCGACCUUUAAAAUUUUACAUGAUUUGAGUUCAAACCGGCGUGA